AUUGAACGCUGGCGGCAGGCCUAACACAUGCAAGUCGAGCGGAUGAAGGGAGCUUGCUCCUGGAUUCAGCGGCGGACGGGUGAGUAAUGCCUAGGAAUCUGCCUGGUAGUGGGGGAUAACGUCCGGAAACGGGCGCUAAUACCGCAUACGACCUGAGGGAGAAAGUGGGGGAUCGUCGGACCUCACGCUAUCAGAUGAGCCUAGGUCGGAUUAGCUAGUUGGUGGGGUAAAGGCCUACCAAGGCGACGAUCCGUAACUGGUCUGAGAGGAUGAUCAGUCACACUGGAACUGAGACACGGUCCAGACUCCUACGGGAGGGAGCAGUGGGGAAUCUUGGACAAUGGGCGAAAGCCUGAUCCAGCCAUGCCGCGUGUGUGAAGAAGGUCUUCGGAUUGUAAAGCACUUUAAGUUGGGAGGAAGGGCAGUAAGUUAAUACCUUGCUGUUUUGACGUUACCAACAGAAUAAGCACCGGCUAACUUCGUG
rnacentral:rRNA from 1 species